CAAAUCUCAGGAUCACUUCUGGAGAUUUUCCAGUACUCUACCAGUCUUGGCUACAGGAGAGAGUCAAGCAGAGGCCUACCCAUUCCAUUCCUAGCUUGGGCAGUUGCUAGCGAGGGGAAGGCAAUCUGCGACAAGU